rnacentral:rRNA from 1 species
UUUACCUACGGGAGGCAGCAGUGGGGAAUAUUGGGCAAUGGGCGCAAGCCUGACCCAGCAACGCCGCGUGAAGGAAGAAGGCUUUCGGGUUGUAAACUUCUUUUCUCAGGGACGAAGCAAGUGACGGUACCUGAGGAAUAAGCCACGGCUAACUACGUGCCAGCAGCCGCGGUAAUACGUAUGGGGCAAGCGUUAUCCGGAUUUACUGGGUGUAAAGGGAGCGUAGGCGGCCUGGCAAGCCUGAUGUGAAAUACCGGGGCCCAACCCCGGGGCUGCAUUGGGAACUGCCAGGCUGGAGUGCCGGG